rnacentral:rRNA from 1 species
GAUACCCUAUUAUUAUAAAUGUAAAAUUUUUACUAAAAUAAUUAUUAGUUAAGUUCUUUAAAAUUAAAAAUUUUGGCGGUAUUUUAGUCUUUUCAGAGGAACCUGUUUUUUAAUUGAUAGUCCACGAUUAAUAGUACUUAAUUUUUAAAUUUACAUAUCGUCGUUUAUAAAAAUUUUAUUAGAAUUAUAAUUUUUAAUAUUUUUUAUUAAAUUUUAAUUCAGAUCAAGGUGUAGUUGAUAUUUAAGUUUAAAUGGGUUACAUUAUUAUUAUUUUUGGUUUUAUAUUUUAAAAUUAUAAUUAAAUUGGAUUUGAAAGUAAUUAUUAUAUUUAUUUAUAAUGAUUUAGCUCUAAAAUAUGUACACAUCGCC